UUUUGUGCAACAUGUGGAUAUUGUGAGGUUAAGAACCUAAGAUCCACCUUCAAGAUCUGUUCUAUAAACCUGGUUACGUAAUUUUGAUUUGUUCCACCAACUUAACACAUAAAUCUGCCGCAGAUUCGCCGUGCCAUUGCUGCUAUUGGACGAGUGCUUGAGUAUGUGAAUCAGAAGUCGGUGUUCGGGUUGUUGAAUUCGGAUAGUGUAUUUUAUACUGGUCUCCCAACUGCUUUUGUCGGAGGAUACGGUGUUGGAGCUCGCUACGGCGGAGUUUAGUCACGGAGAGCUGGUGGUUACGGUGCCAAAGGAUGUUGAUUUGGAUUGGAGUGAAGGCAAUGGAUCUGGAAGGUUUGUUUUGGUACAGUAGUAUGAAGUUAUGAAUAUGUAUAGCUUUUGUUGUUUGAAUUUGGUUAGGUUUGUUCGGUAUAAUUGGAUGUUGUGGAAGUAUGACAAUU